UUCCCCACAGCGCCCCUAUUCCAGAGAUGUGACGGCAACAGUCUGCGUCCCCCACGUCGUCAUCGGUUUCCCUUCCCAAUGUCAGCAAGGAUGUUCCCCACAGCGCCCCUAUUCCAGAGAUGUAACGACAACUGGCAGCAUCCCCUAAGCGGCCUUCGGCUUCCUUUCCCAUAGGCGUCGAGGA